UACGUAGGGUGCGAGCGUUGUCCGGAUUUAUUGGGCGUAAAGAGCGUGUAGGCGGUUGGGUAGGUCCGUUGUGAAAACUCGAGGCUCAACCUCGAGACGCCGAUGGAAACCCCCCAGCUAGAGUCCGGAAGAGGAGAGUGGAAUUCCUGGUGUAGCGGUGAAAUGCGCAGAUAUCAGGAAGAACACCCGUGGCUAAGGCGGCUCUCUAGUACGGUACUGACGCUGAGACGCGAAAGCGUGAGGAGCGAACAGG
rnacentral:rRNA from 1 species